rnacentral:rRNA from 1 species
AUGAACGCUGGCGGCGUGCCUAAUCCAUGCCCGUCGAGCGAACGGACGAGAAGCUUGCUUCUCUGAUGUUAGCGGCGGACGGGUGAGUAACACGUGGAUAACCUACCUAUAAGACUGGGAUAACUUCGGGAAACCGUAGCUAAUACCGGAUAAUAUUUUGAACCGCAUGGUUCAAAAGUGAAAGACGGUCUUGCUGUCACUUAUAGAUGGAUCCGCGCUGCAUUAGCUAGUUGGUAAGGUAACGGCUUACCAAGGCAACGAUGCAUAGCCGACCUGAGAGGGUGAUCGGCCACACUGGAACUGAGACACGGUCCAGACUCCUACGGGAGGCAGCAGUAGGGAAUCUUCCGCAAUGGGCGAAAGCCUGACGGAGCAACGCCGCGUGAGUGAUGAAGGUCUUCGGAUCGUAAAACUCUGUUAUUAGGGAAGAACAUAUGUGUAAGUAACUGUGCACAUCUUGACGGUACCUAAUCAGAAAGCCACGGCUAACUACGUG